rnacentral:rRNA from 1 species
AACGAACGCUGGCGGCAGGCCUAACACAUGCAAGUCGAGCGAGGACUUCGGUCCUAGCGGCGGACGGGUGAGUAACGCGUGGGAACGUGCCCUUUGCUUCGGAAUAGCCCUGGGAAACUGGGAGUAAUACCGGAUGAGCCCUUUGGGGGAAAGAUUUAUCGGCGAAGGAUCGGCCCGCGUUGGAUUAGGUAGUUGGUGGGGUAAUGGCCUACCAAGCCGACGAUCCAUAGCUGGUUUGAGAGGAUGAUCAGCCACACUGGGACUGAGACACGGCCCAGACUCCUACGGGAGGCAGCAGUGGGGAAUCUUAGACAAUGGGGGAAACCCUGAUCUAGCCAUGCCGCGUGAGCGAUGAAGGCCUUAGGGUUGUAAAGCUCUUUCAGCUGGGAAGAUAAUGACGGUACCAGCAGAAGAAGCCCCGGCUAUCUCCGUG